AGCUCCAAGAGCGUAUAUUAAAGUUGUUGCAGUUAAAAAGCUCGUAGUUGGAUUUCUGGUACAACGCGCCUGGCCCGCUUUUAGUGAGUGCCGGUGCGCGUUUGCCAUCCUUCUAGAAAACGUUUCUACCUGGGCAACUGGGCCGGACUCGCGAUCUAGAUCUUUUACUUUGAAAAAAUUAGAGUGUUUAAAGCAGGCUUUUGCUGUGAAUACAUUAGCAUGGAAUAAUAAUCUAGGACUUCGGUUCUAUUUUGUUGGUUUCUAGUACUGAAGUAAUGAUUGAUAGGGAUAGUUGGGGGUGCUAGUAUUGGCCGGCCAGAGGUGAAAUUCUUGGAUUCGGUCAAGACUAACUUAUGCGAAAGCAUUCACCAAGGAUGUCUUCUUUA
rnacentral:rRNA from 1 species